rnacentral:rRNA from 1 species
GACGAACGCUGGCGGCGUGCUUAACACAUGCAAGUCGAACGGUGAAGCGCCUUGCUUUUUGGCAGGGGUGGACGGGUGGGGAACGGGUGAGUAACACGUGCGUAACCUGCCCCCUACUUCAGGAUAACGGCAUGAAAAUGUGGCUAAUACGGGAUAUUCUGGGUCUGUCGCUUGAUGGGUCUGGGGGCGAGAGUGGUUCGGUGGGGGAUGGGCUCGGGGGCUGUCAGCUUGUUGGUGGGGUGAUGGCCUACCAAGGCGGUGACGGGUGGCCGGCCUGACAGGGUGAGCGGCCACGCUGGGACUGCGACGCGGCGCAGACGUCUGCGGGAGGGAGCAGUGGGGAAAAGUGCGCAGCGGGCGCGCGCCUGAAGCAGCGGCGCCGCUUGGGUGGUGAAGGUCUUCGGGUUGUGAAGCUGGUUCGGCAGGUAUGUGGCGGAAUUGACGGUAGCUGGAGAAGAAGCACCGGCUAACUACGUG